rnacentral:rRNA from 1 species
AACGUAGGAGACAAACGUUAUCCGGAGUGACUGGGCGUAAAGGGCGUGUAGGCGGUUAGUUAAGUCUGGCGUGAAAGCUCUCGGCUAAACCGGGAGAGGUCGUUGGAUACUGGCUGACUAGAGGACGGUAGAGGCGUGUGGAAUUCCGGGUGUAGUGGUGAAAUGCGUAGAGAUCCGGAGGAACACCAGUGGCGAAGGCGACACGCUGGGCCGUACCUGACGCUAAAGCGCGACAGCAUGGGGAGCAAACGGG